rnacentral:rRNA from 1 species
UACGUAGGGUGCAAGCGUUAAUCGGAAUUACUGGGCGUAAAGCGUGCGCAGGCGGUUGUGCAAGACAGAUGUGAAAUCCCCGGGCUCAACCUGGGAAUUGCAUUUGUGACUGCACGGCUAGAGUGUGUCAGAGGGGGGUAGAAUUCUACGUGUAGCAGUGAAAUGCGUAGAGAUGUGGAGGAAUACCGAUGGCGAAGGCAGCCCCCUGGGAUAACACUGACGCUCAUGCACGAAAGCGUGGGGAGCAAACAGG